rnacentral:rRNA from 1 species
CAAGGAAUUUUCCCCAAUGGGCGCAAGCCUGAGGGAGCAACGCCGCGUGCAGGAUGACGGCCUUCGGGUUGUAAACUGCUUUUGCUGGGGACGAUAAUGACGGUACCCGGCGAAUAAGCCCCGGCUAACUCCGUGCCAGCAGCCGCGGUAAGACGGAGGGGGCAAGCGUUGUCCGGAAUCACUGGGCGUAAAGCGCACGUAGGCGGGACGGUGCGUCGGUGCUGAAAGCGCCAGGCUUAACCUGGCGAGGCGUGCCGAUACGACCGACCUCGAGGCAGACAGAGGGUGGCGGAAUUCCGGGUGUAGUGGUGAAAUGCGUAGAGAUCCGGAGGAACGCCGGUGGCGCAAGCGGCCACCUGGGUCUGACCUGACGCUGAGGUGCGAAAGCGUGGGGAGCAAACCGG